rnacentral:ncRNA from 1 species
CCCCGACUUUUGGGAGGGGCGCAUUUAUUAGAUAAAAGGCUGACGUGGGCUCUGCUCGCUGAUCCGAUGAUUCAUGAUAACUCGACGGAUCGCAUGGCCUUUGUGCCGGCGACGCACGAUUCAAAUUUCUGCCCUAUCAACUUUCGAUGGUAGGAUAGGGGCCUACCAUGGUGGUGACGGGUGACGGAGAAUUAGGGUUCGAUUCCGGAGAGGGAGCCUGAGAAACG